rnacentral:miRNA from 1 species
ACCCGGAGUGGAGGGGACAGGG